rnacentral:rRNA from 1 species
UAUACAAGGUGGCUGCAUGGUUGUCGUCAGCUCGUGCCGUGAGGUGUCGGGUUAAGUCCCAUAACGAGCGCAACCCUAUUGUUAGUUGCCAUCAGGUCAUGCUGGGGACUCUAACAAAACUGCCCGCGUAAGCGUGGAGGAAGGUGGGGAUGACGUCAAAUCAGCACGGCCCUUACGUCCAGGGCUACACACGUGCUACAAUGGCCGGUACAGAGGGCAGCCACUUGGUGACAAGGAGCAAAUCUCAAAAGCCGGUCUCAGUUCGGAUCGGAGUCUGCAACUCGACUCCGUGAAGUUGGAUUCGCUAGUAAUCGUAGAUCAGCAAUGCUACGGUGAAUACGUUCCCGGGCCUU